AAAAAUGUUCUGACUCAGAAGAGAAAUUAUCGUAUCUUCUUUCACCUGUUAUUGUAAAUGCUUGGAUUGGAAUGAAAGUAACAUACUUACAUUUAUAAGUAAAAUGGCUUGUCUGAGAACAGAAAUGGUUUAUUUCUGUUACGUAUAAUAUUAGUAUCAAGAGAAAAUAAGUUAACGCGAUCUUAAAACAUCCCUAUAAGAUAACAUUUCUGUCCCAGGAAUCAUCAUAAUAUACAAGUGUGGUAUUCUCAGAUACACUGAUUUUCCUCUGAACGAGUAGAAUCUGCAAAAACAGGAUAUCUGUAGUAUCGUCGGCAGCCCUUCGGUAAUUGACAAUGACGUAGAGAAGGGGGGAGGGAGGAAUCAUCAAUGCUUGGAUUGUCAACUGUGCUUCCAGCGUUUGUGUGAUCGGAGCCGAAAACUGCUAGCACAUUUCUUUUCACAAAUUUCGCAUUGUACUGUGCGAGGAACUGUAGGCAAGGUGUGUCUCUGAGCACGAUGAUCCUGUGAGACCUUCACCCACUUUUGGUGUGCAACCUCCGAGCCGUCCUUGAUGCAUAUGCACCAUUUGGCGCGAUCGUUGGCUAUGGACUCCUAAUUGGUAUUAGGUGUAUCAUCUGUGAUGAGGUGAUGUUUUAUUACAUCUUUGUAACGCAGCUUUGGUCCAUCUUUCCGCCACUUGCCAGAGGAAAAUUCUCCAUAAAGUAGAGUCUUUGGAAGUCUAUAUUUUGCCACAUGAACCAAUGACCAGCCCGGUACAGUUGUCUUUUAAGAAGUAUGGCUUCUACACGAGGCAUAUCAGCGUGCUUCAAGACCUCCUCAUUAGUGAUUCGGUCCCCUCAAGAUAUAUUCAAGAUCACUCUGAGGUGUCUUAGUUGUACUCUGGACAAUCACUUUAUAUGACAACGAUAGAGUGUAUAUGUCUUCGCUGAAUAUAGUAGGGAGCUCAGUACCAUGACUUGAUAUAAUUUGCACUUGGUUUUUGGUCGUAUGCCACGCUGUUUCCUCUCAUAUAAUCGACCAACUGAGGCAGAUGCCACUUGUAACCUGUGGUCAAGCUCUACAUAAAGGCUGAUGUCGUUAGCAACUGUACUGCCAAGGUAAAUGAACUGGUUAACAACAUUUAGCUUGUCGCCAGAGAGAACAAUUGGCUCGAAAUAGUGAGAGUUAGGUGAUGGGUAAUGGAGGAUUUCGGUCAUUGUGAUGUUAAUUCUUAGCCCGAAAGCAGCGGAUGUUUCCUUUCACCACCAAUGGCCACCCAUCGCUGUAGGACGUCUUCCUCAUUCCUAGCCUUCACUGGUGCUUAAAGUGUAGUAACAGUCGCGAGUUGUAGAUUCACCCUCAGAUUGAGCUUCCGAGGUCCAGUAGAAUGCUAGGACAUGACAGUUGACGGGAGAACAAUCUAGGUUUUAUUUCAGAGUGACCUUCUCCUAUACCAUUGACUGUACAUAGCUAACGACACUGAUCCUGCCAGUUGCAGUUCUCAAAACUAACUAGAUUAUGCCUUCUCUGCUGUGUACUUCACAGAUAGCUCAUUGUGUAGCUUUGUGCUUAACUACAAACAAAGAAACUCUCAGAAGGUUUUAUAAUUUUAUUUUUAUAUUUAAUAUUUUAGUCUAAAUGUAGGCUUACCGUAUAUACCUCAUUCCCCUAAUCUAUAGUGUUUCAAAAUGUCUGAACAAAUGGAGCAUAUGAUAUUGAUAUGGAGAACUUGACACAAAGCCACUAAAAUGUUCCUCUGGGACUAGUGUACUCAUGGAAUAAGGUCAUUCAAUACGUUUAUCACAUGUGCUUUUAUUGUUAAUGAUUUCUGUAACUUAGUACAUACUGUAUAGAAAUUCUUCAACUGAGCCAUCUAUAAGUUUAUAGAUUUAUAUCACUAAAGUACAGGGUACAGUUCCCUGCGGUAGACAGAGCAUAGAUAGACCCCUGAGUAGCAAGGUGCUAAUAAAGCAAGAACAAAAAUCAACAAUAGUAUAGAAAGUGACAUUGAUAUUUUCCUAUGGCAACUAAAACGAUAUACUUAUGAUAUAGCAUUCCUUGCUUCGAAGUGAGAGUGAUUGUCAGUUACGUGGGUGGUACUUGUGCCUU